rnacentral:rRNA from 1 species
GAUGAACGCUGGCGGCGUGCCUAAUACAUGCAAGUAGAACGCUGAAGGAGGAGCUUGCUCUUCUGGAUGAGUUGCGAACGGGUGAGUAACGCGUAGGUAACCUGCCUGGUAGCGGGGGAUAACUAUUGGAAACGAUAGCUAAUACCGCAUGACAACAGUUAUUGCAUGAUAACUGUUUAAAAGGGGCAACUGCUCCACUACCAGAUGGACCUGCGUUGUAUUAGCUAGUUGGUGAGGUAACGGCUCACCAAGGCGACGAUACAAAGCCGACCUGAGAGGGUGAUCGGCCACACUGGGACUGAGACACGGCCCAGACUCCUACGGGAGGCAGCAGUAGGGAAUCUUCGGCAAUGGACGGAAGUCUGACCGAGCAACGCCGCGUGAGUGAAGAAGGUUUUCGGAUCGUAAAGCUCUGUUGUAAGAGAAGAACGAGUGUGAGAGUGGAAAGUUCACACUGUGACGGUAUCUUACCAGAAAGGGACGGCUAACUACGU